rnacentral:lncRNA from 1 species
UUUGAAUGAGCCGUGCAAAAGCGGAGAUUUUAAAUAUAUAAGUUUCAAAUUAAAUCAAGCCCAAGCAGAAAAACGGGGAGGUUUACAUAAUUUACAUGUAAAUACUUAUUUUUUCAAUUAAACGAGAAAUAGGUGAUCACUGUUUAACAAAUCACAUGAGAGGUGACAAAUCCCGGAGAUAAAGACCGUACUUUAAGAUAGUUGACGCGUGAAACACACCCUGCUUUAUGUUAUGGGCUGGUUACUUAAAAUCCACGUAAGCACAUACGUGAACCAGAACAACACUUAAACUCCGUCACA